rnacentral:rRNA from 1 species
CUAGCCGUUGGGACUCUUGAAGUCUUAGUGGCGCAGCUAACGCACUAAGUAGACCGCCUGGGGAGUACGGCCGCAAGGUUAAAACUCAAAUGAAUUGACGGGGGCCCGCACAAGCGGUGGAGCAUGUGGUUUAAUUCGACGCAACGCGAAGAACCUUACCUGGCCUUGACAUGCAGAGAACUUUCCAGAGAUGGAUUGGUGCCUUCGGGAACUCUGACACAGGUGCUGCAUGGCCGUCGUCAGCUCGUGUCGUGAGAUGUUGGGUUAAGUCCCGUAACGAGCGCAACCCCUAUCCCUAGUUGCUAGCAGUUCGGCUGAGAACUCUAGGGAGACUGCCGGUGACAAACCGGAGGAAGGUGGGGAUGACGUCAGGUCAUCAUGGCCCUUACGGCCAGGGCUACACACGUGCUACAGUGGUGCGUACAGAGGGCUGCAAACCCGCGAGGGGGAGCUAAUCUCACAAAACGCAUCGUAGUCCGGAUCGGAGUCUGCAACUCGACUCCGUGAAGUCGGAAUCGCUAGUAAUCGCGAAUCAGAAUGUCGCGGUGAAUACGUUCCCGGGCCUUGUACACACCGCCCGUCACACCAUGGGAGUGGAUUGCACCAGAAGUGGUUAGUCUAACCUUCGGGAGGACGAU